rnacentral:rRNA from 1 species
CUACGGGUCGCUCCAGUGGGGAAUAUUGGACAAUGGGGGAAACCCUGAUCCAGCAAUGCCGCGUGUGUGGAGAAGGCCUGCGGGUUGUAAAGCACUUUCGGUUGGGAGGACUGCUUCUAGCACUAAUAUUGUUGGAAGUUGACGUUACCUUCAGAAGAAGCACCGGCUAACUCCGUGCCAGCAGCCGCGUGUAAUACGGAGGGUGCAAGCGUUAAUCGGAAUUACUGGGCGUAAAGCGCGCGUAGGCGGCUAGAUCAGUCGGGUGUGAAAGCCCCGGGCUUAACCUGGGAACUGCAUCCGAUACUGUCUAGCUUGAGUACAGGAGAGGAGAGUGGAAUUCCACAUGUAGCGGUGAAAUGCGUAGAUAUGUGGAGGAACACCAAUGGCGAAGGCAGCUCUCUGGCCUGAUACUGACGCUGAGGUGCGAAAGCGUGGGGAGCAAACAGGAUUAGAUACCCGGGUAGUC